rnacentral:rRNA from 1 species
UACGUAGGGUGCAGGCGUUAAUCGGAAUUACUGGGCGUAAAGCGUGCGCAGGCGGUUUGCUAAGACAGGUGUGAAAUCCCCGGGCUUAACCUGGGAACUGCGCUUGUAACUGGCAAGCUAGAGUGUGGCAGAGGGGGGUGGAAUUCCACGUGUAGCAGUGAAAUGCGUAGAUAUGCGGAGGAACACCGAUGGCGAAGGCAAUCCCCUGGGCCUGCACUGACGCUCAUGCACGAAAGCGUGGGGAGCAAACAGG